UACCAAGGUCUAAAGGUCAUUCACCCGCAUGAGCUUGCUCAUAAGUGGGUGAAUGACCUUGUGACCCGCCCCAAUAUUCGCAUAAAAGUGGGAUGAUAGUCCCACGAUAUGCGAAUAUUGGGUAGAAUUGUGGGAGUGUGUAGCACGGAACAAUUCGUAGGUAUC
rnacentral:sRNA from 1 species